GCGUUUUGAGUUUGGUAUUCUGCCUUCCAAGCUGAAUACGAGGGUUCGAUUCCCUUCACCCGCUCCA
rnacentral:tRNA from 1 species